CCUACGGGAGGCAGCAGUGGGGAAUAUUGCCCAAUGGGCGAAAGCCUGAUGCAGCGACGCCGCGUGAGGGAUGCCGGCCUUCGGGUUGUAAACCUCUUUCAGCAGGGACGAAGCGCAAGUGACGGUACCUGCAGAAGAAGCACCGGCUAACUACGUGCCAGCAGCCGCGGUAAUACGUAGGGUGCAAGCGUUGUCCGGAAUUACUGGGCGUAAAGAGUUCGUAGGCGGUUUGUCGCGUCGUUUGUGAAAACCAGCAGCUCAACUGCUGGCUUGCAGGCGAUACGGGCAGACUUGAGUACUGCAGGGGAGACUGGAAUUCCUGGUGUAGCGGUGAAAUGCGCAGAUAUCAGGAGGAACACCGGUGGCGAAGGCGGGUCUCUGGGCAGUAACUGACGCUGAGGAACGAAAGCGUGGGUAGCGAACAGAUUAGAUACCCUGGUAGUCCACGCCGUAACGGUGGGCGCUAGUUUGGGUUCCUUCCCGGGAUGCCGUGCCUACCUAAGUCUGCCUCGCCCCGCCGCCCCCGGGACCCGCACUGAUC
rnacentral:rRNA from 1 species